ACCGCAAGGCCUUGCGCGAACGGAGCGGCCGAUGGCAGAUUAGGUAGUUGGUGGGAUAAAAGCUUACCAAGCCGACGAUCUGUAGCUGGUCUGAGAGGACGACCAGCCACACUGGGACUGAGACACGGCCCAGACUCCUACGGGAGGCAGCAGUGGGGAAUUUUGGACAAUGGGCGAAAGCCUGAUCCAGCCAUGCCGCGUGCAGGAUGAAGGCCUUCGGGUUGUAAACUGCUUUUGUACGGAACGAAAAGACUCUGGUUAAUACCUGGGGUCCAUGACGGUACCGUAAGAAUAAGCACCGGCUAACUACG
rnacentral:rRNA from 4 species